rnacentral:rRNA from 1 species
CCUACGGGAGGCUGCAGUGGGGAAUAUUGGACAAUGGGCGAAAGCCUGAUCCAGCCAUGCCGCGUGUGUGAAGAAGGCCUUCGGGUUGUAAAGCACUUUCAGUGGGGAAGAAAGCCUUGGGGCUAAUACCCUCGAGGAAGGACAUCACCCACAGAAGAAGCACCGGCUAACUCCGUGCCAGCAGCCGCGGUAAUACGGAGGGUGCGAGCGUUAAUCGGAAUUACUGGGCGUAAAGCGCGCGUAGGCGGUCUGAUAAGCCGGUUGUGAAAGCCCCGGGCUCAACCUGGGAACGGCAUCCGGAACUGUCAGGCUAGAGUGCGGGAGAGGAAGGUAGAAUUCCCGGUGUAGCGGUGAAAUGCGUAGAGAUCGGGAGGAAUACCAGUGGCGAAGGCGGCCUUCUGGACUGAAACUGACGCUGAGGUGCGAAAGCGUGGGUAGCAAACAGGAUUAGAUACCCCAGUAGUC